GCACAUGUCAAAUACCAUUGCAAGGAAUGCCAAGGGAUGAUCUAAAUUCCUUUGUAGUUUUGGAAUUUAGCACUUGAAUAUUAAUUAAAGUAAGUCGGCCAUGGACCCGGGUUUUAAAACAUUAUAUUCCAAUGAGAGAAUCUUAUAACUGGGUUUUCUGGAAGAAAAUUUGAUUGCUGAUGCCUGUCUAUCUUUUCCUCCAUAGGAACAAAGUGACUGAACUAUGGAGAACGGUUUGAUGGAGGAGAAAACUGAAACUCAGGGCACGACUGAGAAUUUUGGAUGAUAUACCAAAUUCAGUUCAGCAUGAUUUCCUAAAGUGGCACAGUGGAUAAAGAAAGAUAGAAUCUUUGCCCUCAUCAUACUUUUCAGUCAUGGCAGGAUCAUCUGGAGGAUUUACACAUGAUGAAAAAAAGAAAGGAGGAAAGAAAAAACAUUUUCCUAUGAUAACUGAAUAAGUGUUUGGAAGAUAAAGGGAAAUGACAACUCUAUGAUGGUUCCAGGUGAGAAAAAGUUUGCCUGAGGUGGAAUAUCUGAGAUGGAAUUGGAUAGAGACAAUGAAAAGGGAGGACCAAAACAUAUGCAUAAUUUACUCAAGAAAAAGGUGGUAGAAAAGACUUCAGACUCUGAGGGCAAAACUAAUAAGAAUGAGAGGUAAUUGCAAAGGGGAACAUUUAGGCUUGGUAUAAGG